AUUGAGCGCUGGCGGCGUGCCUAACACAUGCAAGUCGAGCGGUAGCAGGUGUAGCAAUACAUGCUGACGAGCGGCGGACGGGUGAGUAACGCUUGGGAAUCUGCCUGUUAGUGGGGGACAACCAACCGAAAGGUUGGCUAAUACCGCAUACGCACUACGGUGGAAAGCCGGGGACCGCAAGGCCUGGCGCUAACAGAUGAGCCCAAGUCGGAUUAGCUAGUUGGUAGGGUAAUGGCCUACCAAGGCGACGAUCCGUAACUGGUCUGAGAGGACGACCAGUCACACCGGAACUGAGACACGGUCCGGACUCCUACGGGAGGCAGCGGUGGGGAAUAUUGGACAAUGGGGGAAACCCUGAUCCAGCGACGCCGCGUGGGUGAAGAAGGCCUGCGGGUUGUAGAGCCCUUUCGGUUGGGAAGAAAAGUUGCGACCUAACACGUUGCGACCUUGACGUAACCAACUAAAGAAGCACCGGCUAACUCUGUGCCAGCCGCCGCCGUAAUAC
rnacentral:rRNA from 1 species